rnacentral:lncRNA from 1 species
CUGUACCCAAAGUUCAGUGACCUCAGCAGAAAGGCCCAAGAACAGCAGACCUUUCUUCCAUUUUGGACCUUGGGAGAGGAUGUCUGUCAGGCCUCAUCACCCCAACUACUACCUGAGUUCCAGACUCUACUGAAGCUCACCCUUGCUGGAUUUCAUGAAGAAAACUGCCAUACGGAGAUGUCCACAUGCCAAGGAACUGAGGAUGGCCUCUGGCAGACAGCCCAUGAGCACAAGGAAUUGAAUCCUGCCAACAAUGAUAUUAGCUUGCAAAUAUAUCCUUCCCCAGUUAAGCCUCAAAUGAGACUCCAGUCCUGGCUGACACCUUGAUUGCAGCCUUGUAAGACCCUGAAGCAGAGAAUCCAGAUAAGCCAUACCCAGAUUCCUGAUACACAGAAAAUGAAAUAAUAAAUGUGUGUUGUUUUAAGCUGCUAA